GCCCGUGUGGCGUAGUGGUAGCGCGUUGCACUUGUAAUGCUUGUUACAUUCAUGCAAAGGUCACUCGUUCGACCCGGGUCGUGGGCA